rnacentral:lncRNA from 1 species
GGGGAUGGAUGGCCGAGUUGUAACGCUGUCUGCGUGCCACGCAGAAGGAACCGGAUUCGCGUCCCGGAUCUGGUUUCUCCUGAAAAGUGUUUUCGAGGUGCUGGACCAGGCUUGUCGAUUCCUAGCCUUCGCUAUCCGUCCCCCUCCACGGGGGUGGAUGCAGACCGUGAUUGGAACUGGUACGCCCCUUAACAAUCUCCCUGAUUGGCAAAGAGCGUUUAAAAAAAGAUAUCUGUGAGAUGGAAACAUCAAAACACAACACCCCAAAGAAAACUGUUCAAAUAAGAUUCCAUAGUAUUAUAUCAAGAAUGAUAAUCACACGCACAUAAUCAUGAUGUUUUAAAAUACAUUGCUGCACUUUCUAAUAUAUCUUACUAUUUG